rnacentral:rRNA from 1 species
UACGAAGGGGGCUAGCGUUGCUCGGAAUCACUGGGCGUAAAGCGCACGUAGGCGGAUCUUUAAGUCAGGGGUGAAAUCCUGGAGCUCAACUCCAGAACUGCCUUUGAUACUGAGGAUCUUGAGUCCGGGAGAGGUGAGUGGAACUCCGAGUGUAGAGGUGAAAUUCGUAGAUAUUCGGAAGAACACCAGUGGCGAAGGCGGCUCACUGGCCCGGUACUGACGCUGAGGAGCGAAAGCAUGGGGAGCGAACAGG